UACGUAGGGUGCGAGCGUUGUCCGGAAUUAUUGGGCGUAAAGGGCCAGUAGGCGGCCAACUAAGUCCGACGUGAAAUCCCAAGGCUUAACCUUGGAACUGCGUCGGAUACUGGAUGGCUUGAAUUCGGGAGAGGGAUGCAGAAUUCCAGGUGUAGCGGUGAAAUGCGUAGAUAUCUGGAGGAAUACCGGUGGCGAAGGCGGCAUCCUGGACCGACAUUGACGCUGAACGGCGAAAGCAGGGGAGCGAA
rnacentral:rRNA from 1 species